AUAACAGCUGGAAACGGCUGCUAAUACCGCAUAAGCGCACAGAGCUGCAUGGCUCAGUGUGAAAAACUCCGGUGGUAUGGGAUGGGCCCGCGUCUGAUUAGGCAGUUGGCGGGGUAACGGCCCACCAAACCGACGAUCAGUAGCCGGCCUGAGAGGGCGACCGGCCACAUUGGGACUGAGACACGGCCCAAACUCCUACGGGAGGCAGCAGUGGGGAAUAUUGCACAAUGGGGGAAACCCUGAUGCAGCGACGCCGCGUGAGCGAAGAAGUAUUUCGGUAUGUAAAGCUCUAUCAGCAGGGAAGAUAAUGACGGUACCUGACUAAGAAGCCCCGGCUAACUACGUGCCAGCAGCCGCGGUAAUACGUAGGGGGCAAGCGUUAUCCGGAUUUACUGGGUGUAAAGGGAGCGUAGACGGCAAGGCAAGUCUGAUGUGAAAACCCAGGGCUUAACCCUGGGACUGCAUUGGAAACUGUCUGGCUCGAGUGCCGGAGAGGUAAGCGGAAUUCCUAGUGUAGCGGUGAAAUGCGUAGAUAUUAGGAAGAGCACCAGUGGCGAAGGCGGCUUACUGGACGGUAACUGACGUUGAGGCUCGAAAGCGUGGGGAGCAAACAGGAUUAGAUACCCUGGUAGUCCACGCCGUAAAC
rnacentral:rRNA from 1 species